UCUAGCUCUCAAACUCUUCAUACUCUUCAUAUUCAAAGUGCAUCUAGAUUGGAGGAGAUUUUAAUCAAAUACUGGAUCAAGACCUAGAUAGAUCACUUCCUAGGAGAGGCACAGAGAGUAAAUCUGUAGUUGCCAUAAGGCAGAUGACCUCAGAUUUAGGUCUGAAUGAUAUUUGGCGGACAAUGCAUCUAGAAGGCAGGGAAUAUUCCUUUUACUCUCCGCCUCAUAAUGUUUAUACUAGAAUCGACUACUUUCUUAUCUCUGAAGCCUUAGUCAAUAAUUCUAUAUAUUCAAGUAUUGGUAAUAUAGUAAUCUCAGACCAUGCACCAAUUUUUCUAUGUCUUGGAAAUAUUUUACAGAUCCCCCAAAGCCGCAGAUGGCGUUUAAAUGUGUCCUUAAUUAAAGACUCUGGGUUUAUUAAAUUGAUAAGAGAUGAAAUACAAUUCUGCAAACAGACAAAUAAUCGAGAGGACACUACAUUGGCUACUUGGUGGGAUGCUAUGAAGGCAUACUUAAGGGGGAGGAUAAUUUCUUACGCUUCCUUUAAAAAGAAGGCAGCUAACAAGAAUAUUAUUAUGUUAGAAGCCAAAUUAAAGGCACUUGAGGCAGUACAUUCCCAUACAAAAGACAGAGUUACGUUGAAUAAAAUCGUUAAAGUUAAAUAUAAGUUGAAUGUACUGUACAACAGAAAGGCAGAAUAUGCUUUAUUUCGCAUUAAUCAAGCAUAUUGGGAAAUGGGAGAAAAGCCGAGCCGUUUAUUAGCAUACCGUCUUAAACAGAAAGACAGUAUGAACCAUAUCCCAGGCAUACGACAAUCAGAAGGGGUUAUUUCAACUUCUAUUAGACAUAUAAAUGAUGGAUUCAGGGCCUUUUACAAUAAUCUUUAUUCAACACAAGGCAGUUUAGAUAAACAGAAAUUCAAAGCAUUCUUUACUGAUUUAAAUCUGCCACAGCUUUCUGCUAUUGACCAGCAGACUAUAGCUGCUCCAAUUACAGUGGAGGAGAUUACCCGUGCAAUUAACAGUAUGCCACUUAAUAAAGCUCCAGGAUUAGACGGGUUACCAUUGGAUUUCUAUAGAGCAUUUAAAGAUAUGUUAAGUCCCCUGUUGCUCGAUGUUUAUAAUGAGGCGUUUAAAGUAGGCUCAUUACCUCAGUCAAUGCACUCUGGACCUAUAACAUUUAUUCCUAAAACUGGGAAAGACCCUUUAGACCCAAGUGGUUACCGCCCCAUAUCUUUGCUUAACUCUGACCAAAAAAUCUUGGCAAAGGUCUUAGCAGGUCGAUUAAAAGUAGUAAUGGCGAAAAUAAUACAUGCAGACCAAUCUGGUUUUGUUCCAAACCACUAUGGUUCAGAUAAUAUUAGGCGGUUGGUUAAUUUGCAAAAUUAUGUAUAUGAUUCAGUAAAUCCAACAGUGGCCCUAUCGCUGGAUGCUGCUAAAGCUUUUGAUUAUGUUGAGUGGGAUUAUCUGUUUAAGACAUUAGAAAAGUUUGGUUUUGGUGACAAUUUUAUUAGGUGGAUAAAGAUAUUAUAUGAUUUGCCUUCAGUGCCAGUAUUGACGAAUGGGCUCAUAUCAGAUCUAUUCCUUUUACAGAGAUCCACAAGACAGGGUUGUCCCCUUAGCCCCGGGCUUUUUGUAAUUGCUAUAGAGCCUUUGGCACAAAAACUGAGAAAUAAUGUAAAUAUAUUUGGAAUUUCGAUGGGUAAUAGUCAACAUAAGCUUCUAUUAUAUGCAGAUGAUAUGUUGUUACUUAUGACCCAGCCUGGGAAGUCAAUUCCAGCCCUAUUAGAAUGUAUAGAAAGCUUUACGCUGCUUUCAGGGUAUCGCGUCAACUGGGAUAAAUCAGAGGCAAUGCCUAUGUCAGGACACUGCCCUCAUACUUUAUUUAAACAGUGGGAGUUUCGGUGGUCCGUGAAUGGUUUGAGGUAUUUAGGGAUACAAAUUACCUUGGAUUACACUAAGAUGGUUCGAGCAAAUAUGGAGCCAAUGUUUGAAAGAAUAAAAAUGGAAUUUGGUAGAUGGUCCAGAGCAGGGGUGCCCAAUCCUAGUCCUCGAGAGCUACCGUCCUGCAGCUUUUAGAUUCAUCCUUGUUCCAACACACCUGAAUCAAAUGAAUGUCUUGUUAUCAGGCCUUUGCCAAACUUGAUGGCAUGCUGAAGAGGUCAUCAAACCAUUUGAUUCAGCUGUGUCGGAGUAGGGAUGCAUCUAAAAGCUGCAGGACAGUAGCUCUCGAGGACUAGGAUUGGGCACCCCUGGUCCAGAGUAUGUCUCACAAUAUGGGCCUCUCGGUCAAGCAGCUCCACCCACUUCAACUCUGCUUACGUCCCCCGACCUGAACUGAUCAGUCAUCCAUUGACUGAUUGAUCAGCUGUGUCCUGAUGAUUGAAAGUCUUGAAUUUGUCUAUCCACUUACAUCUACCACUUAUUUACUCUGCUACCUGGCAUCUUUGCACAAGUGUGCCAGUUCUGUCAAAGGGCCUUUCACACAGACGUAAUAACUGUUCAACACUGGAUUAAUGGUUCAUGGACAGUACAUCAGAGUCUACACAACCGUACUUUUUAUGUGUGACAGAUGAUGUCACAUAUUAUGUAUGUGGAGCUUUCUGCUAUGUCCAGUCACAACUGCUGAAGAGCAUACAGGGACCAUAUAGAAAUGCACUGCCUUGAAAGAAAAAAUGGAUCAUGGCUUUUGUAUCUGAAGAAUUUCAUAGUUGAAAGAUCCUGAUUUUGUAAUCAAGAGAAAAGGUUCUGCAAUUUUCAAAUGACAUAAACAAGAAACUUCACUAAAUGUUGAAGAAACGUACCUGCAUGAAGAAGGCACCCAGUCAGAAACAAACCCUGUGACUUCUUUUUCACAGUCCAGUCCAGUUUUUUUUCCUCUUUCAGUUUUAAACGCAUGUAUGGCGCAUAGGAUACAAUAUUGUGUGCAGUGUUUAGACUAUGUUUAAAAUAAAAAUAUGUUAUUAUGAUAAGAUUGUGUUAAGAGAAUUGCUCAUGCCAUCUUUGACAGUAUUUUGUGUAAAAUUAGAAAACAAAGUCAUAAAUGAAUAAACACAUCAAACCCACUGUGUGAAACAAAAAGGCACACUGUCAACAUUUGUGUUAGCAUUCUCACUUGAGACUAAUUUUAUAGCUCAUAGGUAUGUAUGUAAAGUGCUCUGAGUGGUCAAAAAGACCAGAAAGUGUUCUAUACUAAAGUCAAUUUAACAACUUGCCCAGAGGUUAAAGUGGGAUUUGAAUAGUGGGAGAACCCAAGCUUCCAGUGUAGCAGUGCUGCACAGGGGAAUGAGCCACAUUGUAAUCCCUGUUGUGAGUUUCUGUCACAGUCCUCCUGUGUUCUCUCAGUUUCCCUUGGGGCUUUUUUUCUCACUUUUGUUAUUCACCUUAGCUUCUCUGUGGAGAUAGACUUUACAGUAUUAUUGUUUCAGUAUUUGUUAGUUUGGUCAAGUUUGUUGUUACAGCUUGGUUGAUAAGGCUUUGGAGGCGUACCAGUCCAGGGUGUCGUCUGGCCAGCUCCAAAGACGGACGCAGGGCCAACACAGAGAGAUGUUUUCAAACCUGUGUGUGUGCAGCAGAGGGGCGCUUACAUGGUGGUUUGUGAAGGACAAGUACUCACUUGUUAACCAUUUUAUCUUGCUGUAUAUACUGCAGAUCUGCAGUGUUGGCAUUUCCUGUUCUAUUAAAAAUGACCAACCUGCAGGCCUUCUUUGUAAAUAAAGAAUAACCAGUUCUUUCUAUGGUGAGAAUUAAAGUUUAUAAGAUGACAAAAAAGACAUUAAAAACAUUACGAGGGCACUUACAGGGCCUCUGCUGCCAUCUUCAGGCCAAAAAGCUAAAGCAUUUCAGAACAUUUUGGAAUAAAAUAUGCUCUAUUCA